CGUGUAGGCGGCUGGGUAAGUCAGAUGUGAAAGUCCCGGGCUCAACCCGGGAAGUGCAUUUGAUACUGCUCAGCUAGAGUAAGGGAGAGGAAAGUGGAAUUCCUGGUGUAGGGGUGAAAUUCGUAGAUAUCAGGAGGAACACCGGUGGCGAAGGCGGCUUUCUGGCCCUAUACUGACGCUGAGACGCGAAAGCGUGGGUAGCAAACAGGAUUAGAUACCCUGGUAGUCC
rnacentral:rRNA from 1 species